rnacentral:rRNA from 1 species
AUCAAACGCUGGCGGCGUGCCUAACACAUGCAAGUCGAACGAGAAAGGGGAGCAAUCCCUGAGUAAAGUGGCGACCGGGUGAGUAACACGUGACUAACCUACCUCGAGUGGGGGGAUAACUCGGGAAACCGGGGCUAAUACCGCAUAAUGCCUUCGGGGUAAAGGAGCAAUUCGCUUGAAGAGGGGCUGGUCGCGGCUGAUUAGCUAGUUGGCGGGGUAACGGCCCACCAACUGGGCAAUGAAUCGGUAGCCGGCCUGAGAGGGCGCACGGCCACACUGGAACUGAAACACGGUCCAGACUCCUACGGGAGGCAGCAGUGGGAUUUUGCGCAAUGGGGGAAAACCCUGACGCAGCAACGCCGCGUGGAGGAUGAAGUCCCUUGGGGACGUAAACUCCUUUCGACCGGGACGAUGAUGACGGGUACGGUGGAAGAAGCCCCGGCUAACUUCGUGCCAGCAGCCGCGGUAAUACGAGGGGGGCGAGCGUUGUUCGGAAUUAUUGGGCGUAUAAGGUGCGCGUAGGCGGUGCGGUGUAAGUCACCUGUGAAACCUCUGGGCUUAACUCAGAGCCUGCAGGCGAAACUGCCGUGCUGGAGUGUGGGAGAGGUGCGUGGAAUUCCCGGUGUAGCGGUGAAAUGCGUAAGAUAUCGGGAGGAACACCUGUGGCGAAAGCGGCGCACUGGACCACAACUGACGCUGAGGCGCGAAAGCUAGGGGAGCAAACAGGAUUAGAUACCCUGGUAGUCCUAGCCCUAAACGAUGGAUGCUUGGUGUGGUCGGGUACCCAAUCCCGACGUUGCCGAGCUAACGCGAUAAGCAUCCCGCCUGGGGAGUACGGUCGCAAAGCUGAAACUCAAAGGAAUUGACGGGGGCCACGCACAAGCGGUGGAGCAUGUGGUUCAAUUCGACGCAACGCGAAGAACCUUACCUGGGCUCGAAGCGCAGUGGACCGGGGUAGAAAUAUCCCUUUCCGCAAGGACCGCUGCGGAGGUGCUGCAUGGCUGUCGUCAGCUCGUGUCGUGAGAUGUUGGGUAAGUCCCGCAACGAGCGCAACCCUUAUCCCUAGUGCCAUCGGGUCAAGCCGGGCACUCUAGUGAAACCGCCCCGGAUAUCGGGAGGAAGGUGGGGAUGACGUCAAGUCCUCAUGGCCUUUAUGUCCAGGGCUACACACGUGCUACAAUGGUCGGUACAAACCGUCGCAAACCCGCGAGGGGGAGCUAAUCGGAAAAAGCCGACCUCAGUUCGGAUUGGAGUCUGCACUCGACUCCAUGAAGCUGGAAUGCUAGUAAUCGCAGAUCAGCACGCUGCGGUGAAUACGUUCCCGGGCCUUGUACACACCGCCCGUCACAUCACGAAAGUGAGCUGUACAUGAAGUCGGUGAGCUAACCGCAAGGAGGCAAGCCGCCCAAUGGUACGGCCCAAUGAUUGGGGUG